rnacentral:rRNA from 1 species
AACGAACGCUGGCGGCAGGCUUAACACAUGCAAGUCGAACGUCCUGGCAACAGGGCGUGGCAGACGGGUGCGUAACGCGUGGGAACAUACCUUUCGGUUCGGAAUAACCCAGGGAAACUUGGGACAAUACCGGAUACGUGCGAAAGCAGAAAGAUUUAUCGCCGAAAGAUUGGCCCGCGUCCGAUUAGCUAGUUGGUGAGGUAAUGGCUCACCAAGGCGACGAUCGGUAGCUGGUCUGAGAGGAUGAUCAGCCACACUGGGACUGAGACACGGCCCAGACUCCUACGGGAGGCAGCAGUGGGGAAUAUUGGACAAUGGGCGAAGGCCUGAUCCAGCCAUGCCGCGUGAGUGAUGAAGGCCCUAGGGUUGUAAAGCUCUUUCGCCAGGGACGAUAAUGACGGUACCUGGAGAAGAAGCCCCGGCUAACUUCGUGCCAGCAGCCGCGG